CAAGUACUCCCUCCAUCUUAAAAUUCUUGUCUUAAAUUUGUCUAUAUACAGAUGUAUCUAGUUACAUUUUAGUGUUAGAUACAUCCAUAUCUAGACAAAUUUAAGACAAGAAUUUUGGGACGGAGGAAGUAUAAU
rfam:Triticum aestivum genome assembly, contig: Triticum_aestivum_CS42_TGACv1_scaffold_336415_4BS